CUCAGGAUGAACGCUGGCGGCGUGCUUAACACAUGCAAGUCGAACGGAGUUUUUAACGGAAGUUUUCGGAUGGAAGUUUAAGAACUUAGUGGCGGACGGGUGAGUAACGGCGUGGGUAACCUGCCUCAUACAGGGGGAUAACAGUUAGAAAUGACUGCUAACACCGCAUAAUAUAGUGAAACCGCAUGAUUUUGCUAUCAAAUAUUUAUAGGUAUGAGAUGGGCCCGCGUCUGAUUAGCUAGUUGGUGGGGUAAAAGCCUACCAAGGGCGACGAUCCAGUAGCCGGCUUGAGAGAGUGACCGGCCACAUUGGGACUGAGACACGGCCCAAACUCCUACGGGAGGCAGCAGUGGGGAAUAGUUGGACAAUGGGGGAAACCCUGAUCCAGCGACGCCCGCGUGAGUGAAGAAGUAUUUCGGUAUGUAAAGCUCUAUCAGCAGGGAAGAUAAUGACAGUACCUGACUAAGAAGCCCCGGCUAACUACGUGCCAGCAGCUGC
rnacentral:rRNA from 1 species